AAGGUUGAGACGGAGGGGGAGAAGAGGGAGGUGUGGCGUCAGACUAGAUGAGACGGAAUAGCAACAGUGCAUAUAUAGACCGUUAUGUACGUCAUAAAGACUACCUCAACAGCUUGUUUGGUCAGGACUGAAAUGGUUAGGAGUGGAGGUGCUAACAACCUGGGGCCUAG